GAGUUUGAUCAUGGCUCAGAUUGAACGCUAGCGGCAUGCCUUACACAUGCAAGUCGAACGGCAGCAUGAUCUAGCUUGCUAGAUUGAUGGCGAGUGGCGAACGGGUGAGUAAUACAUCGGAACGUGCCCUGUAGUGGGGGAUAACUAGUCGAAAGAUUAGCUAAUACCGCAUACGACCUGAGGGUGAAAGUGGGGGACCGCAAGGCCUCAUGCUAUAGGAGCGGCCGAUGUCUGAUUAGCUAGUUGGUGGGGUAAAGGCCCACCAAGGCGACGAUCAGUAGCUGGUCUGAGAGGACGAUCAGCCACACUGGGACUGAGACACGGCCCAGACUCCUACGGGAGGCAGCAGUGGGGAAUUUUGGACAAUGGGCGAAAGCCUGAUCCAGCAAUGCCGCGUGUGUGAAGAAGGCCUGG
rnacentral:rRNA from 1 species